rnacentral:rRNA from 1 species
AGUGAACGCUGGCGGUAGGCCUAACACAUGCAAGUCGAACGGCAGCACAGUAAGAGCUUGCUCUUACGGGUGGCGAGUGGCGGACGGGUGAGGAAUACAUCGGAAUCUACUUUUUCGUGGGGGAUAACGUAGGGAAACUUACGCUAAUACCGCAUACGACCUACGGGUGAAAGCAGGGGAUCUUCGGACCUUGCGCGAUUGAAUGAGCCGAUGUCGGAUUAGCUAGUUGGCGGGGUAAAGGCCCACCAAGGCGACGAUCCGUAGCUGGUCUGAGAGGAUGGUCAGCCACACUGGAACUGAGACACGGUCCAGACUCCUGCGGGAGGCAGCAGUGGGGAAUAUUGGACGAUGGGCGCAAGCCUGAUCCAGCCAUACCGCGUGGGUGAAGAAGGCCUUCGGGUUGUAAAGCCCUUUUGUUGGGAAAGAAAAGCAGCAGGUUAAUACCCCGCUGUUCUGACGGUACCCAAAGAAUAAGCACCGGCUAACUUCGUG